rnacentral:lncRNA from 1 species
GGAUAGGUUGCGCUGUGUACUACAUCAACACGGAGAGUCCUUCAAAAUCAACUGAGAAUAAAUUGAGCUAGGAACAAGUUACAAUGACAUGAAGGAAAUUAAAAGGACACGAAGAUAAAGAACUCUGAGAGAGUGGAGAAAAUGGGAGGGAAUCUAAGCCAGGCUAUGCAUGUAUCUAAUAAUUCCAAACAGUACCUUUGGAGUUCGAGUCUGGAUGGCAGCCAAGGUCUCCAAACCCUGAAACAAAACUUUAGACAAGAGAGGACAGCAUCAAAAGAAGUAAUGGGCUGAUGUUGAAAAAAAUAACAGCCUCCCACAGACCUGGGAUUAUAGGUAUAGGAAGUGCUGAAGUCGGCCGUCUUGGAAAUGGACGCUGGAUCUGCUUAAGUGCUCUCUUUGGACACCUGGAAAGACUGGCAAGGAGAACAAGGGGCCAGGCUGCAAAACAAGCCAAGCGCUGGGAAUACCCAAGAAUGCGGAGGCAUACGAGCAUGCUCACGCUGAAGAUAAUAAUUAAGCUCAUCUGCAUUGUCUUUCACUGUCUUUGGGAAUUUAUGAAAUGAGACAGAAGAACGGGCCUCCAAAAAGCUCUUUUUAAAAAGUGAUAUGAUGGUUAUGUCUCGUGAAUUUAAAUAAAGCUGCCAACAUUCCUGCCCCCACGUGGCCUUCUCAGCUCACACUGUCACUUACUUGCAGUUUCUGGAGCUGGUCGAGGUGGAGCUGCACAGGCAAAACCACUCCACUAUAGGAAUUUAAAUCAUGUGCACUGUUACACAAUAGAAAAAGGUCCAGUUUCUGUCUCAGGGUCUUGCCGGAUAAACAUUGUACAAAAAAGAUUAGGAACUGUGAAAAGUUUUGAUUCUCUAUACCAUG